rnacentral:rRNA from 1 species
UAUAGUCAAGUAAUUAAGUGCAUGUGGUGGAUGCCUUGGCAGUCAGAGGCGAUGAAAGACGUGAUAGCCUGCGAAAAGCUCCGGGGAGGCGGCAAAUAUCCUUUGAUCCGGAGAUGUCUGAAUGGGGGAACCCACCUACUUUAAGGUAGGUAUUGCAACA